rnacentral:lncRNA from 1 species
UCAUAUGGUUGUGUCCUGGGAAUUGGGUGCUCCACUUAGUCUUUCCGCGCUCCAGCGAAGACUUCCCGCGAAGCCUGUGACGCCCCCGAUUUGACCGUACACUAAUCAUGCACGCAAAUGUGUACGAUCAAGAUCAGGGACUCACGAGAAGAUAUCACAACACAACUCUAAAACAUAAAUAAGUCAUACAAGCAUCAUAAUACAAGCCAGGGGCCUCGAGGGCUCGAAUACAAUUGCUCGAUCAUAGACGAGUCAGCGGAAGCAACAAUAUCUGAGUACAGACAUAAGUUAAACAAGUUUGCCUUAAGAAGGCUAGCACAAAAGUAGCAACGAUCGAAAAGGCAAGGCCUCCUGCCUGGGACCUCCUAGCUACUCCUCGAAGCCGAACUCCAUGUAGAAUCAUCCUCGGGAUCUCUAGCUCCUGGACUCCAGCAUCUGGUUGCGACAAUCCGGUAUAGAAAGGGGAAAAGAGGGAGAAAAGCAACCGUGAGUACUCAUCCAAAGUACUCGCAAGCAAGGAGCUACACUACAUAUGCAUGGGUAUAUGUGUAAAGGGGCAUAUCAGUGGACUGAACUGCAGAAUGCCAGAAUAAAAGGGGGAUAGCUAGUCCUGUCGAAGACUACGCUUCUAGUCAUCUCCAUCUUGCAGCAUGUAGAAGAGAGUAGAUUGAAGGCCUCCAAGUAGCAUCGCAUAGCAUAAUCCUACCCUGUGAUCCCCUCCUCGUCACCCUGUUAGAGAGCGAUCACCGGGUUGUAUCUGGCACUUGGAAGGGUGUAUUUUAUUCAGUAUCCAGUUCUAGUUGUCAUAAGGUCAAGGUACAACUCCGGGUCGUCCUUUUACCGAGGGACACGGCUAUUCGAAUAGAUAAACUUUCCUGCAAGGGUGCACCACAUAACCCAACACGCUCGAUCCCAUUUGGCCGGACACACUUUUCUGGGUCAUGCCCGGCCUCGUAAGAUCAACACGUCGCAGCCCCACCUAGGCUCAACAGAGAGGUCAGCACGCCGGUCUAAACCUAUGCGCGCAGGGGUCUGGGCCCAUCGCCCUAUGCACACCUGCACGUUGCGUACGCGGCCGGAAGCAGACCUAGCCCCCUUAAUACAAGCGCAAGCUUACGGUCCAAUGCGGCGCGCGCCACUCAGUUGCUGACGUCAAAAGAGUUUCGGCUGAUACCACGACGCCGGGAUACCCAUAACUACUCCCACGUAGAUGGUUAGUGCGUAUAGACCAAAUGGCCAGACUCAAAUCAAAUACCCAGAUCUCGUUAAGCGUGUUAAGUAUCUGCGAACACCGACCAGGGCCAGGCCCACCUCUCACCUAGGCGGUCUCAACCUGCCCUGUCGCUCCGCCACAAAGUAACAGUCGGGGGCCGUCAGGAACCCAGGCCCACCUCUACCGGGAUGGAGCCACCUGUCCUUUCAGCCCCCUCAUCAGAAUUACUUGCGGGUACUCCUCGAGCCGACCCGACUUUAGUCACCACAUGUGUCAUGUAUAUAAUGUAUAUAGUAUAUACUCGUGAUCACCUCCCAAAGUGAUCACGACCCAGUAGUAUAGCAUGGCAGACGGACAAGAGUGUAGGGCCACUGAUGGAACACUAGCAUCCUAUACUAAGCGGUAGGAUAGUAGGUAAGGGUAACAACUGUAGCAACAAUGACAGGCUAUGCAACAGAAUAGGAUUAACCGAAAACAGUAACAUGCUACACUACUCUAAUGCAAGCAGUAUAGAGAAGAAUAAGCGAUAUCUGGUGAUCAGGGGGGGGCUUGCCUGGUUGCUCAGACAAGAAGGAGGGGUCGUCAGUGACGUAGUCGACCACAGGGCAUCAGCAUCGUCACGGGGUCUACCGAAGAGAAGAGGGGGGGGGAGAAACAGUAAAUACAUAGUAAGCAAGUGCAUAACAGGACAACAGGCAGAGCUAGACGUGUUCUAACGCGGUAUGAGGUGAUACCGGUGAAGGGGGGAAACAUCCGGGAAAGUAUCCCCGGUGUUUCACGUUUUCGGACAAAUGAACCGGAGGUGAAAUGUUGCAGGUUCACUAUGCUAGGGACGCGUGGCGGACGAACGGACUGCGUAUUCGGAUUCGUCUCGUCCUUCUGAGCAACUUUCAUGUACAAAGUAUUUUCAUCUGACUUGCGGUUUAUUUUCUAUGAUUUUUUAAAUUUUAACAAAUAUUCUGAAUUUUUUGUAUUUAGUAAAAAUCUGAAUUGACCAAGUCAAACUUGACUAGUCAAAGGGGCAGGUGUGGCCCACAUGUAAGUGACAAGGGGCAAUUUAAUUAGUCUAAACCAAUUCAAACUAGUGGGGCCACAUGUCAUCUACACAUUAGGCUAUUUAUACCACUAAUCUAAUCCUAAACUACUCUAUCUCUAAUUAAUUAAGCCGGCCAGAGGCACAACCGGCUAUGCACAUUGAGCAUGCGCGCACGACCAUGGCCAAUCUGCCGCAACGGCCAACGAUAGCAUCAGGCAGCACUAAGCGGCAGCAGCAGAGGAAAAACUAGCGGCAAAGCAGUAGCGGGCAGCAGGCUCGGCAAGGAGCAGCAACAGGCAGCGGCAGGGGCGAGUUGCUGCAGGCAACAGUAGUACGCAGCAGCAGAAGCAAACAACGGGAAGCAGUGGCGGGAGCACAGCAGCGGGGGGGAAGAGGGGCUGGGCGCGGCCCACGGGCGCGCGUGCACAGGCGAGGGCGGCCAAGACGCGGCCCUGGGCGCGGUGGAGCCCGACGGGGAGGCACGCUGAGCGUGGCCAAGCGAGACAGGGGAGCGGCAGCGGGCGAGUGGCAAUAGGCAUGGCGCGAGCACGGGCGUGUGUGGGCGGACGAGCGCGUGCGUGGUCACGCGCGACGGGCGACGGCAGGAGGAGAAACACGAGCAGGGCUAGGAGUGGAUGUGUGCGGAUGCGGAACUCCGGCCAAGGCGGCCUCGGGCGGGCACGGGUCUACGGCGACAGAUCGACAGCGGGGCGAGGGGGUUAGGAAGGAGCAGCUCACUGUGAUGCAGAUGGUGAGGUCGGGGAGAGUCGGGGUUGACCGGAACGACGGUAAUCGAUGACGGACGACGACGACGUACGCGACGAAGUCUGGCUCGAUGGCGAGCGCACGGGCCACCUCGGCUCCGUUCCGUGUUCGGGACGGAUGAAGACGUCCAUGGCGGGCCUCCUGGACGUCCUCCCACGCGAAGGCGACGACGGUGGUCGUGGUAAUGACGAUGACGAGCGCGGUCACCGUGAGAGUUUCCAAGCUCGAAUUCGAGCGAAAGAAGAAGGGGGCGAAGAGGGAAAUAGGGGGGAAUGGACGAGGGCGACCUAGGGUUCGCGUUGGCGCAGUUAUAAGCGAAGGGGAUCGACGUGGCGGC